UUUCCGUAGGUGAACCUGCGGAAGGAUCAUUACCGAGUUAGGGUCUCCUCCGUGAGGCCCGACCUCCCAACCCUGUGUCUAUUAAACCUGUAUGUGUUGCUUCGGCGGAACGGCAGUCGCCCACCACCUCCCCUCACCGAGAGGAGGAGGGAGACCGUCGCCGGGGGGUUCACGGUCUUCACGGACCACCCCUGGAGAGCGUCCGCCGAUGGCCCCAACCAAACAAACUCCCAAACCAAAUUAUAAUACCUAAACCUUCUGAAUCAGACUUUUGAUAUACCAAUCAAAAAUAAAACUUUCAACAACGGAUCUCUUGGUUCUG
rnacentral:misc_RNA from 1 species